UACGAAGGGGGCUAGCGUUGUUCGGAAUUACUGGGCGUAAAGCGCGCGCAGGCGGUCUUCCAAGUCAGUGGUGAAAGCCCGGAGCUCAACUCCGGAACUGCCAUUGAAACUGUAAGACUUGAGGACGAGAGAGGUGAGUGGAAUUCCCAGUGUAGAGGUGAAAUGCGUAGAUAUCGGGAGGAACACCAGUGGCGAAGGCGACUUCCUGGCCCGUUCUUGACGCUGAGGCGCGAAAGCUAGGGGAGCAAACGGG
rnacentral:rRNA from 1 species